rnacentral:rRNA from 1 species
AAGUAUAAGCAAUUUAUACAGUGAAACUGCGAAUGGCUCAUUAAAUCAGUUAUCGUUUAUUUGAUAGUACCUUACUACAUGGAUAACCGUGGUAAUUCUAGAGCUAAUACAUGCUAAAAAUCCCGACCUUUGGAAGGGAUGUAUUUAUUAGAUAAAAAACCAAUGGCUUCGGCCUCCUUGGUGAUUCAUGAUAACUUUACGAAUCGCAUGGCCUUGUGCCGGCGAUGGUUCAUUCAAAUUUCUGCCCUAUCAACUUUCGAUGGUAGGAUAGUGGCCUACCAUGGUUUCAACGGGUAACGGGGAAUUAGGGUUCUAUUCCGGAGAGGGAGCCUGAGAAACGGCUACCACAUCCAAGGAAGGCAGCAGGCGCGCAAAUUACCCAAUCCCGACACGGGGAGGUAGUGACAAUAAAUACUGNUACNGGGCCCUUUCGGGUCUUGUAAUCGGAAUGAGUACAAUUUAAAUCCCUUAACGAGGAACAAUU